AUUGAACGCUGGCGGCAUGCUUUACACAUGCAAGUCGAACGGUAACAGGCCGCAAGGUGCUGACGAGUGGCGAACGGGUGAGCAAUGCAUCGGAACGUGCCCAGUCGUGGGGGAUAACUACUCGAAAGAGUAGCUAAUACCGCAUACGAUCUAUGGAUGACAGCGGGGGACCGUAAGGCCUCGCGCGAUUGGAGCGGCCUAUGUCAGAUUAGGUAGUUGGUGGGGUAAAGGCUCACCAAGCCAACGAUCUGUAGCUGGUCUGAGAGGACGACCAGCCACACUGGGACUGAGACACGGCCCAGACUCCUACGGGAGGCAGCAGUGGGGAAUUUUGGACAAUGGGCGCAAGCCUGAUCCAGCAAUGCCGCGUGCAGGAAGAAGGCCUUCGGGUUGUAAACUGCUUUUGUACGGAACGAAACGGCUCUGGUUAAUACCCGGGGCUAAUGACGGUACCGUAAGAAUAAGCACCGGCUAACUACGUG
rnacentral:rRNA from 1 species